UUGGACCAAGGUCGGAGGGGUAGAAGGAGCUUGCUCCUUUGAGACCGGCGCACGGGUGCGUAACGCGUAUGCAAUCUACCUUGUACAGGGGGAUAGCCCAGAGAAAUUUGGAUUAAUACCCCAUAGUAUUUUCAGAUGGCCUCAUUUGAUUAUUAAAGUUCCAACGGUACAAGAUGAGCAUGCGUCCCAUUAGCUAGUUGGUGUGGUAACGGCAUACCAAGGCAACGAUGGGUAGGGGUCCUGAGAGGGAGAUCCCCCACACUGGUACUGAGACACGGACCAGACUCCUACGGGAGGCAGCAGUGAGGAAUAUUGGUCAAUGGGCGCAAGCCUGAACCAGCCAUGCCGCGUGCAGGAUGACGGUCCUAUGGAUUGUAAACUGCUUUUGUACAGGAAGAAACCCUCCCUUGUAAGGGAGCUUGACGGUACUGUAAGAAUAAGGAUCGGCUAACUCCGUGCCAGCAGCCGCGGUAAUACGGAGGAUCCAAGCGUUAUCCGGAAUCAUUGGGUUUAAAGGGUCCGUAGGCGGUUUUAUAAGUCAGUGGUGAAAUCUGGUCGCUCAACGAUCAAACGGCCAUUGAUACUGUAAGACUUGAAUUACUUGGAAGUAACUAGAAUAUGUAGUGUAGCGGUGAAAUGCUUAGAGAUUACAUGGAAUACCGAUUGCGAAGGCAGGUUACUACGAGUAUAUUGACGCUGAUGGACGAAAGCGUGGGGAGCGAACAGGAUUAGAUACCCUGGUAGUCCACGCCGUAACGAUGAAUACUAGCUGUUUGGAGCAAUCUGAGUGCUAAGCGAAAGUGAUAGUAUCCCACCUGGGGAGUACGCUCGCAAGAGUGAACUCAAGGAUGGACGGGGGCCCGCCAAGCGGAGGACAUGUGGGUUAUCGAUGAUACGCGAGGAACUACAGCCUAAAUGGAAACGACGAUUGAAACGAUCUUCUCGACGUUCCAGGUGCAUGGUUGCGCAGCUGGCCGAAGUCAGGUAAUCUUAACGAGCGCAACCCCUGUUGCUAGUUGCCAGCGAGUCAUGUCGGGAACUCUAGCAAGACUGCCGGUGCAAACCGCGAGGAAGGUGGGGAUGACGUCAAAUCAUCACGGCCCUUACGCCUUGGGCUACACACGUGCUACAAUGGACGGUACAGAGAGCAGCCACUACGCAAGUAGGAGCGAAUCUACAAAACCGUUCUCAGUUCGGAUCGGAGUCUGCAACUCGACUCCGUGAAGCUGGAUUCGCUAGUAAUCGCAGAUCAGCCAUGCUGCGGUGAAUACGUUCCCGGGCCUUGUACACACCGCCCGUCAAGCCAUGGAAGCUGGGGGUACCUGAAGUCGGUGACCGCAAGGAGCUGCUCCACAGCAGUGGAGAAAAGUUA
rnacentral:rRNA from 1 species